rnacentral:rRNA from 1 species
GACCUGCCGGACCCACUGCUAUCGGUAUAGGACUAAGACAUGCUAGUCGAGUGGUCAGCCAAAACGAGCCACGGCAUACAGCUCAGUAACACGUGGCUAAUCUGCCCUUGAGACGAGAACAACCCCGGGAAACUGGGGCUAACUCUCGAUAGGCGAAGAACACUGAAAUGUGUCUUCACCCAAAAAGCUUCACGUUACGCUCGUGAGGUCGCUCAAGGAUGAGGCCGCGACCGAUCAGGUUGUUGGUGAGGUAAUGGUUCACCAAGCCUUUAACCGGUGCGGGCCGUGAGAGCGGGAGCCCGGAGAUGGGCACUGAGACAAGGGCCCAGGCCCUACGGGGCGCAGCAGUCGCGAAAACUUUGCAAUAAGCGAAAGCUUGACAGGGCUAUCCCGAGUGCCAUCCGCUGAGGAAGGCUUUUACCCAGUCUAGAACGCUGGGGGAAUAAGGAGAGGGCAAGUCUGGUGUCAGCCGCCGCGGUAAUACCAGCUCUUCGAGUGGUGUGGAUGUUUAUUGGGCCUAAAGCAUCCGUAGCUGGCUAAGUUAGUCCCUUGUUCAAUCCACCGAAUUACUCGUUGGAUUGCGGGGGAUACUGCUUGGCUAAGGGACGAGAGAGGCAGACGGCAUUUCGGGGUAGGGGUGAAUCCUAUAUCCGGGAGACACAGUG